CAGGAGCUUGUGAUUUGCCUGCCUGAUGGAGGCGGCCUCGAUGAGAGUAAUCUCUCGGCUGAAGAGAAGCUGAGGCGAGAGAGGUCAAGGGAGAGGGGAUUGGGAGUCACGAGGUACGAGUGGAAAUCGAGGUCGACGUCCUCUUCUUGCUCCGCUCUAGGGAAGCCCACUAUCAUGGUGCCAUUGCCAAAUGGGGUAUAUUUCUAGGAAAUAUCAGGCUUAUAGCCAUAGCUCAAGCUUACAUGUUGUGCUAGCUCGCCAAUUAUUGACCCGCAUCUAUCACCAGAUGGAAGCAUGCUUGCAUAUGUCAGGGAUGAUGAACUCCAUGUUUUAAACCCGUCUGGUGGGGAGCCUAAACAAUUAACUUUUGGAGCAAUUGCAAAUAGAAAGGUCACUGGAACCUGUUGGUAUACUCAUGUAUACCACAGCCCCGCCCCAGGCUGUUUGGGGAGUAUCAGAGCAGCAACACAAUAAGAAGGUUGAGGCGACCAUAAAGGAGUAUCAACUUGAAAUAUGAGAAUAAUCUUUA